rnacentral:rRNA from 1 species
UACGUAGGGUGCGAGCGUUAAUCGGAAUUACUGGGCGUAAAGCGUGCGCAGGCGGUUUUGUAAGCCGGAUGUGAAAUCCCCGGGCUUAACCUGGGAAUGGCAUUCGGGACUGCAAGGCUGGAGUGCGGCAGAGGAGACUGGAAUUCCUGGUGUAGCAGUGAAAUGCGUAGAUAUCAGGAGGAACACCGAUGGCGAAGGCAGGUCUCUGGGCUGACACUGACGCUCAUGCACGAAAGCGUGGGAGC